rnacentral:misc_RNA from 1 species
UCUCCGUAGGUGAACCUGCGUAAGGAUCAUUAUUGUAUAACCGAGGUGCGAGGGCUCCCGCUGUUCCGACAGGUCGAGCACGCCCGAGUGAACACACACACAACAGACUCAGCCGUAUGUGCAUAACCGCGUGGGUCCCCUUUUGGCUUGAUCGGAGGGGGGCUUACGUUUUCACACAAACUUUGUAUGCAGUGUAGAAUGUAUUUUUUGUUUUUGCGAACACGCGAUCAAUACAACUUUCAACAACGGAUCUCUUGGCUCUC